rnacentral:rRNA from 2 species
ACGGGGGGGCUGCAGUAGGGAAUCUUCCGCAAUGGACGAAAGUCUGACGGAGCAACGCCGCGUGAGUGAUGAAGGUUUUCGGAUCGUAAAGCUCUGUUGUUAGGGAAGAACAAGUGCGAGAGUAACUGCUCGCACCUUGACGGUACCUAACCAGAAAGCCACGGCUAACUACGUGCCAGCAGCCGCGGUAAUACGUAGGUGGCAAGCGUUGUCCGGAAUUAUUGGGCGUAAAGGGCUCGCAGGCGGUUUCUUAAGUCUGAUGUGAAAGCCCCCGGCUCAACCGGGGAGGGUCAUUGGAAACUGGGAAACUUGAGUGCAGAAGAGGAGAGUGGAAUUCCACGUGUAGCGGUGAAAUGCGUAGAGAUGUGGAGGAACACCAGUGGCGAAGGCGACUCUCUGGUCUGUAAC